rnacentral:rRNA from 1 species
UCGAGAGGCUUCGGCAAUGGGGGAAACCCUGACCGAGCGACGCCGCGUGAGGGAUGAAGCCCUUCGGGGUGUAAACCUCUUUUCUGAGGGAAGAAACCCGUGACGGUGAACAAUCGUCGCGGUUGACGGUACCUCAGGAAUAAGCUCCGGCUAACUCCGUGCCAGCAGCCGCGGUAACACGGGGGGAGCAAACGUUGUUCGGAAUCACUGGGCGUAAAGGGCGCGUAGGCGGCCCCGUAAGUGGUGUGUGAAAUGCCCUGGCUCAACCAGGGAAUAGCGCUCCAAACUGCGGGGCUUGAGGGCAGUAGAGGAAGCUGGAAUUCCAGAUGUAGCGGUGAAAUGCGUAGAUAUCUGGAGGAACACCGUUGGCGUAAGGCGAGCUUCUGGGCUGUCCCUGACGCUGAGGCGCGAAAGCUGGGGGAGCAAACAGGAUUAGAUACCCUGGUAGUCCCAGCUGUAAACGGUGAACACUAGGUGUGGGAGGUGUCGACCCUUCCCGUGCCGCAGCUAACGCU